UUAGUUCCAGAAUAGAAUUUUCAUUUGGUUCUUUUUUCAGGUUUUCCAUGAAAUUCUGUGUUAUGUUUAUAAUAGAUUGUUGUUGUUGUUUUCCCCAGUCAGUGUGAGGGAAACUUUAUUGAGGCCCCAGGGCCAUGGGGCUCAGACAGGAAGCCACAUUGCAGGCAAAGGAAGAGCAGGUGGAGGGGCUUUAUUGACCUUCUGGGGGUGCGGGUGGUGGUUGUGGUUGCACGUCUGGCGGGAGCACAACGCUCGCUGUGCUUGUAUUUCCGGGAGAGCUGGUAGAGGGAGGGCUGGGUAAUGCCAUCUCCAGGCCAAGCGCCAAGUGCAGGACUCUUACUGGAUAUUGUAUCUGAGAGAGUGCAGCCAUCCUUCAGCUGUUUGCCUCUGAGUACAGACGCUGCUGCUCGGGUGGGAUGCCUUCAUUGUCUUGGCUUCAACAUUCUCAACGGUGUCACUGGGCUUGACCUCAAGGGUGAUGGUCUUGAUUUUCAGGGUCUCCACAGAGAUUUGCAUCUGUGCAUCUGCUGCUCAGCCGCCGAGUUGAAGAGAAAGAACUAAAACCGUUAUUUUUAAAUCUUUUCCUACUACUUCUAAUGUUUGAGUAGAAAAAGAGACCUAAAAGCCAAGAGUCACCACCAACAGAGGCCUUUUCUGGUAAAGAGUUACCAAGCAGCAGAGUGAACCUGACAAGAUCCACAGUGGGUGAUUGCUGGCCUUCUACCCGAGCAGACAGUCGGGAGUCUAGGGAUGAGCCAGAGAAGCAGAAGAUGCAUGACGGCAGCUUGGGGUCAAUGGAACGUGAACAAGGGCAAGUAGUGACCCAGGAUGGGGACUGGGGAGAUGCUGAAGUUGUGGAAAAAUGCAGCUUCAAUUCAGACUUUCUUUCUGCACAGAAAUUUCUUGUCAAAGAAUAUUUCCGUCAAAUUGACUCAGUUCAAAGCUUCCAGCAUGAUUUUGUUUUAAAAAAUUGUCAGAAAAAUCUUGGUAGUGAAGAAAGCUUAUAAAGGCAAUCCACGUGGAAAAGCCUUAGGAAAUCUGUAUAAAUUGAGCAUGGUAAAUAUACCAACCAGAGCAUAUACCUUUCUACACAUGAGAUUAUUAAUGUAGGAAAUAAACCCUAUGGCUUUAAAGAAAGUGGAGAUUUUUUUACCCAUAGCUCAUGCUUCUCUCACUUCAUGAGAACUCAUACUAAGGAGAAACCCUAUGAAUAUAAUGCAUGUGGGAAAGCCUUUAAGAAACUUUCACCUCUUUCUUACCAUCUGAGAAAUCACAAUAGAGAGAAAGCCUAUGAAUGUAAUGAAUGUGGGAAGUCUUUCUGGAAGAGCCUUCACCUCAUUUUGCACCAGAGAACUCACACUGGUGAGAAACCUCAUGAAUGUAAUAAAUGUGAAAAGUCUUUUAGCCAUAAUUCUUACCAUAAUGUACACCAGAGAAUUUAUACUGGAGAGAAACCCUAUAAAUGUGAUGAGUGUG